UUUCAUAUCAUUUAUCCUUCAUGAGUACUUUGCAAGGGAGGUGUCGGUAAAGUCCUUCAACAGAUUUAAAUAUGAGUCUCAGACAAGUUUAUAAACUUGCUGUGGGAAACCUAGCUGCUCAAUGAAGGGGCUGAAAAAUCCAUUCCAGUUCUGACUGCAGUCUUUUGUAACAACACCUUGUCUAAAGACCACCAGGUUCCUUCGCCAUUUCAGCUGCCACCAUCCCCUCUCCCCAAAACCCCAGUAGACAUCAACAGAAUCCAGAAACUACAGGGUCCACUGGCAUGGCAGGGCCUGUAGGAUUCUUUUCCAAUGUGUACAGAUUGGCUGAUGCCUGGACUAUGCCAGUUCACUGUUUUAAAGAUUACUCUUGAUUGUCACAAUUAAAAACAAAGAAUAUUUAGAACCAAAUUAUAUGUGUUGCACAUUAAACAAAACGUUUUAUAAU
rnacentral:lncRNA from 1 species